rnacentral:rRNA from 1 species
UACGGAGGGUGCAAACGUUGCUCGGAAUUAUUGGGCGUAAAGCGCACGUAGGCGGCCGAACAAGUCGGGUGUGAAAUCCCUCGGCUUAACCGAGGAAGUGCAUUCGAAACUGUCCGGCUUGAAUACUCAAGAGGGUCUCGGAAUUCCCGGUGUAGAGGUGAAAUUCGUAGAUAUCGGGAGGAACACCAGUGGCGAAGGCGGAGACCUGGGGAGAUAUCGACGCUGAGGUGCGAAAGCGUGGGGAGCAAACAGG